rnacentral:rRNA from 1 species
AUUGAACGCUGGCGGCAUGCCUUACACAUGCAAGUCGAACGGCAGCACGGGAGCAAUCCUGGUGGCGAGUGGCGAACGGGUGAGUAAUAUAUCGGAACGUGCCCAGUAGUGGGGGAUAACUGCUCGAAAGAGCAGCUAAUACCGCAUACGACCUGAGGGUGAAAGCGGGGGAUCGCAAGACCUCGCGCUAUUGGAGCGGCCGAUAUCAGAUUAGCUAGUUGGUGGGGUAAAGGCCUACCAAGGCAACGAUCUGUAGUUGGUCUGAGAGGACGACCAGCCACACUGGGACUGAGACACGGCCCAGACUCCUACGGGAGGCAGCAGUGGGGAAUUUUGGACAAUGGGCGCAAGCCUGAUCCAGCAAUGCCGCGUGCAGGAAGAAGGCCUUCGGGUUGUAAAC